AUUGAACGCUGGCGGCAGGCCUAACACAUGCAAGUCGAGCGGAUGACGGGAGCUUGCUCCUUGAUUCAGCGGCGGACGGGUGAGUAAUGCCUAGGAAUCUGCCUGGUAGUGGGGGACAACGUUUCGAAAGGAACGCUAAUACCGCAUACGUCCUACGGGAGAAAGCAGGGGACCUUCGGGCCUUGCGCUAUCAGAUGAGCCUAGGUCGGAUUAGCUAGUUGGUGAGGUAAUGGCUCACCAAGGCGACGAUCCGUAACUGGUCUGAGAGGAUGAUCAGUCACACUGGAACUGAGACACGGUCCAGACUCCUACGGGAGGCAGCAGUGGGGAAUAUUGGACAAUGGGCGAAAGCCUGAUCCAGCCAUGCCGCGUGUGUGAAGAAGGUCUUCGGAUUGUAAAGCACUUUAAGUUGGGAGGAAGGGCAGUAAGCUAAUACCUUGCUGUUUUGACGUUACCGACAGAAUAAGCACCGGCUAACUCUGUGCCAGCCGCCGCAGUAAAAC
rnacentral:rRNA from 1 species